GUCACUUUGCCGGAGUGGUUAACGGGAUCGCCUGCUAUACUUAGUAGAUCAGCGGUUGGUCUUUGACCGCGAGUGUUCGAAUCGCUCAGGUGACG
rnacentral:tRNA from 1 species